GUCACCGCCUCUCUGGGCAGGAAGGCGUAGGUCUCUGCGAUCUGCACCGGGGAGCGAGAGGAGGAACGAGAAGAAGAACAGGUGUGAUCAUUAUUGAACCACGUGUUCGUGGUCAGUGACGAUCUGGUUCGUGACAGAUUCACUACACGCUGGACUUUUAAGAGCCAGAAGAACAUGAUCCGUCUUGAAGGCCUCGAGUUUCCAAACAGGACAUUCACCUCCUAACACAACGCGUGUGUCAGCACAGUACAGGUCGACCGUGUGGAGUGUGUACACGCAGCGUCUCAGAGGAGAACAGCUGUUGAAUAGAUAUUUGCUCGACGUUUGGAAGAGCAGAGGAAACAAGUCAGUAUCCUGAACUCUCUCCUCGCCUCCUUCUCUCCAUCCUUCUAAUCCUGGAGGACUUUGCUCUCCCCAGCCGCCGUACGACCGACCAGCCCCCAUCACCGGCCCCCACCCCCUCUGUCCCGCACCAAACCGCUCUGUUGCUAGGAGACUGGAGGGGUUGAGUCGACUGCCCCCACCCCCGCUGGCAGUAACACACACUGAAGCAGAGAGUCACUGAGGGGAGAGAGGAGCAGUCCUGCACAGGCAGGUCGUGUGGAGAGUUUCUGUAUGUGACGUGUGUGAGAGCAUGUCCAUCAAAACCCAGUGUUUAAGCAUCUCUUGUGAAACUGGCUGCACUCUGAUUCUCCUCGUCUCGGGGAAGUGCUGGAGUCCGUGGACCCGCUCCGUGGACGAGAGAGGACGAGAGAGGACAAGAGAGGACGAGAGAGGACGAGAGAGGACGAGAGAGGACAAGAGAGGACGAGAGAGGACGAGAGAAGAGGAGAGAGGACGAGAGAGGA